rnacentral:lncRNA from 1 species
GUGAUGACGCGUGGUGUAGCUGUUUUAGUGCUCCUCUGCCUGCUAGGGGCUUUCCAUGACAGCGGUUACCGGGGGAUGUACGCUUCCGGACAGAUGAAUAUACAAACGAUAGUGGCGUUGCCGAACCGCUGCAUGUACGGUUACGUCGAGGUUCAUGAUGGUGAAUGCAGAAGAAGCGUGAUGUCUGGCGCCGUUCAGUCAGGUGAAGGCAGCAUGGUGCGCAUUGGACUCGUUUCUGCUCUCGCACUGAUUUCGACCGGUAUUGGUUUCUACAUCCACUCCUAGUGACUCCAUUAAUGGAAACGAGAUUUGGCGAAAUAUUAAAGCAGCGUACAUGGUAAUCCCUAAAUGGAUAGUACAUUAGCAAUAUAGGAGCAGAUAUAGUGUUUUGCAUGUAGUUUCUAACGUAUAAUCAUCCAAUAAUUCCUAUACAUUUAAAAUAUUAUGCAAAUUCAUAUGUGGAAAUAAAUUUUCGAUAAUAAUUUGUUUUCAUGAACCUAUACAUCGAAAUAUCAAAAUGAGAUAAGGUCUGAUUACACUUUGGCAUUUAUUUUAAACAAAAAUUGAAUUAUCUGUAA